AUGCUCGCUUUGACAGCUCAUACACUAAAAAUGGAACCAUAUAGGGAAGACUAUCAUGGCUUGUGCACAGCGAUGACAGGCAAAUUUGUGAAGCAUUCCAUAUUUUU
rnacentral:snRNA from 1 species